rnacentral:rRNA from 1 species
UACGUAGGGGGCAAGCGUUGUCCGGAUUUAUUGGGCGUAAAGAGCGUGUAGGCGGCCACGCAGGUCCGUUGUGAAAACUGGAGGCUCAACUUCCAGCCGUCGACGGAAACCGUGUGGCUAGAGUCCGGAAGAGGAGAGUGGAAUUCCUGGUGUAGCGGUGAAAUGCGCAGAUAUCAGGAAGAACACCAAUGGCGAAGGCAGCUCUCUGGGACGGUACUGACGCUGAGACGCGAAAGCGUGGGGAGCGAACAGG